GGAGGGUGCAAGCGUUAUCCGGAUUCACUGGGUUUAAAGGGUGCGUAGGUGGUUUUGUAAGUCAGUGGUGAAAGCCCGGAGCUCAACUCCGGAACUGCCAUUGAUACUGCUUAACUUGAAUCAAGUAGAGGUGGAUGGAAUAAUACAUGUAGCGGUGAAAUGCUUAGAUAUGUAUUAGAACACCGAUUGCGAAGGCAGUUCACUAUGCUUGUAUUGACACUGAGGCACGAAAGCGUGGGGAUCAAACAGGAUUAGAUACCCUGGUAGUCCACGCCCUAAACUAUGUAAACUCGACAUUAGCGAUAUACUGUUAGUGUCUAAGCKAAAGCKGUAAGUUUACCACCUGGGAAGUACGACCGCWAGGUUG
rnacentral:rRNA from 1 species